AUGGUUUGCUAGGAAAGUUGGCGAACUAAAACAUCUAAGUAACCAAAGAAAACCAAAGUAAAAGAAAUUCUCAUAGCGACGAGUGAAAUGGUAGCGUGAAAAUAAGGUUGUGGGGGAGCAAUAUAAGCGUUGUGCCGCUAAGUGAAGCGGUGAAGUGCUGCACCUUAGACGGCGGAAGUUCAAUAACCAAAUCAAAGCAGAUCUAUCUUACGCCAUGACCUAAGUAACAUACAUGGGGCACGAGAAAUUCUGUGUUAAUCAAUAAGGACCACUUUGCAAGGCUAAAUACUCAU
rnacentral:ncRNA from 1 species